UCGAGCUCGUCGCUAGGUCGACAAGAUUCGGUCAGAUGCUUUCUAGAACCCGCUAGAGCGCACGCGGAUCGACAUAUCGGAUUCUGCGCCAGGGUUUACGGAAAAGGAGUCUCACCGUUUAGGGUCGAGUUGACGCAAACCCAGAAUUCUGUCUGAAAAGGAGAACAGAAGUAAGUUGAAGGCAAGGAUCCGACAAAGAGUAAAUCGAGGCGAAUGUAAGAAAAAGUCGUAGCAAGGAUCGAUUAAAAGCGGCUUACCAGCUCGAGGGAACAGAAUUCCGACAGGCGUCGCGACGCGUUCUCCCUCGCCUCUGCUUCUGCCCCCAACGCCACCAGAGAGAUCUGAAAGCAGCGCGAAUUUCUUUUUGUUCAAACGUCGAUCAGAGGACAAAAGCCGUGGAAAAUGGACACCGAGGAGGAAAAACUACACAGCUGCGCGUCCAGAUUUCACGAUGGGACUUUCCAGGAUUUAUCGAAUGCGAGAUUCGAGAGAGGCGUACCUUGGAGCAGACGCUGCGACACGACCCGGCGGCCAAAGAGCAACAGGACAUCUCUGGAACAAAUAAAAUAGACUUGAGGAUCUGUCGGAAGUACGCGAAAACAUGUGGCACUUAGAUCCUUUCUCCGCAUUUUCCGGGACACGAAACAGACGCGUCCUGCGUUACGUCAAUUGGGAAAGAAAGGAUCCGUUUUUCUUUUACCGGAUGAGGGAAACGCUGAUUACCUUGCGCGGCAUCGAGGAAAAGAUCGGCGCUGGCGACGACCGCCAGCAUGGUCGUCAUCAAACCGAUCGA